rnacentral:lncRNA from 1 species
AUGUCAGUUUUUAUUCCAAUCUUAAAGAAAGGCAAUGCCAAAGAACGCUCAAACUACCACACAUUUGCACUAAUCUCACAUGCUAGCAAAGUGAUGCUUAAAAGUCUUCAAUCCAGGCCUCAGCAAUAUGUGAAUCGUGAACUUCCAGAUAUUAAGCUGGUUUUAGAAAAGGCAGAAGAAACAGAUCAAAUUGUCCACAUCUGUGGGAUCAUUGAAAAAGCUAUCAAGUCACAGAAAAACAUCUAUUUCUGCUUUAUUUACUAUGCAAAGCCUUUAACUGUGUGGAUCACAGCAAACUGGAAAAUUUUUCAAGAGAUGGGAAUACCAGAACACUUGACUAGCAUCCUCUUGAGGAAUCUGUAUGCAGGUCAGGAAGCAACACUUAGAACUGGAGAUGGAACAACAGACUGGUUCCAAAUAGGAAAAGGAGUAUGUCAAGGCUGUAUAUUGUCACCCUGCUUAUUUACCUUAUAUGCAGAAUACAUCAUGAGAAAAGCUGGGCUGGAGGAAGCCCAAGCUGGAAUCAAGAUUGCUGGGAGAAAUAUCAAUAACCUCAGAUAUGCAGAUGACACCACCCUUAUGGCAGAAAGUGAAGAAAUAAAGAACCUCUUGAUGAAAGUGAAAGAGGAGAAUGAAAAAGUUGGCUUAAAGCUCAACAUUCAGAAAACGAAGAUCAUCACAUCUGGUUCCAUCACUUCUUGGGAAAUAGACAGGGAAACAGUGGAAACAGUGUCAGACUUUAUUUUUGGGGGCUCCAAAAUCACUGCAGAUGGCGAUUGCAGCCAUGAAAUUAAAAGACACUUAUACAUUGGAAGGAAAGUUAUGACCAACCUAGAUAGCAUAUUCAAAAGCAGAGACAUUACUUUGCCAACAAAGGUCCGUCUAGUCAAGCCUAUGGUUUUUCCAGUGGUCAUGUAUGGAUGUGAGAGUUGGACUAUAAAGAAAGCUGAGAGCCGAAGAACUGAUGCUUUUGAACUAUGGUGUUGGAGAAGACUCUUGAGAGUCCCUUGGACUGCAAGGAGAUCCAACCCCAUUCUAAAGGACAUCAGUCCUGGGUGUUCAUUGGAAGGACUGAUGUUGAAGCUGAAACUCCAAUACUUUGGCCACCUGAUGUGA